AGAAUUAAAGCUGCGAUGGUCCUGAGUGACCUCAUGGACGGGUCGCUUUAAUUCAGUG
rnacentral:pre_miRNA from 1 species